rnacentral:rRNA from 1 species
GAUGAACGCUGGCGGCGUGCUUAACACAUGCAAGUCGAACGGGAAUUACUUUAUUGAAACUUCGGUCGAUUUAAUUUAAUUCUAGUGGCGGACGGGUGAGUAACGCGUGGGUAACCUGCCUUAUACAGGGGGAUAACAGUCAGAAAUGGCUGCUAAUACCGCAUAAGCGCACAGAGCUGCAUGGCUCGGUGUGAAAAACUCCGGUGGUAUAAGAUGGACCCGCGUUGGAUUAGCUAGUUGGUGGGGUAACGGCCCACCAAGGCGACGAUCCAUAGCCGGCCUGAGAGGGUGAACGGCCACAUUGGGACUGAGACACGGCCCAGACUCCUACGGGAGGCAGCAGUGGGGAAUAUUGCACAAUGGGGGAAACCCUGAUGCAGCGACGCCGCGUGAAGGAAGAAGUAUCUCGGUAUGUAAACUUCUAUCAGCAGGGAAGAUAGUGACGGUAC